AUGACGACGCCGGCGAAUGCCCAGAAUGCCAGCAAGAAGUGGGAACUGAGUCUGUAUGAGCUGCACCGGACCCCGCAGGAAGCCAUAAUGGAUGGCACAGAGAUUGCAGUUUCCCCUCGGUCACUGCAUUCGGAACUCAUGUGCCCUAUCUGCCUGGACAUGCUGAAGAAUACAGUGACCACCAAGGAGUGCCUCCACAGAUUCUGCUCUGACUGCAUUGUUACAGCCCUGCGGAGCGGGAACAAGGGGUGUCCUACCUGCCGAAAGAAGCUGGCAUCCAAGCGAUCCCUACGGCCAGACCCCAACUUCUUCGAUGCCCUGAUCUCUAAGAUCUAUCCCAGCCGGGAGGAAUACGAGGCCCAUCAAGACCCAGUGCUCAUCCGCCUGAGCCGCCUGCACAACCAGCUGGCAUUGAGCUCCAGCAUUGAGGAGGGGCUGCGCAUGCAGGCCAUGCACAGGGCCCAGCGUGUGAGGCGGCGGAUACCCGGGUCAGAUCAGACCACAACGAUGAGUGGGGGGGAAGGAGAGCCUGGGGAGGGAGAAGGAGAUGGAGAAGAUGUGAGCUCAGACUCCGCCCCUGACUCUGCCCCAGGCCCUGCUCCCAAGCAACCCGUGGAGUGGGUGCAUGGGGGAGCAGUGUAGGGACAGGAGGAGGUGGCACUGGUGGGGUGGGUGUGGGUGCCGGUUCGGAAGACUCUGGUGACCGGGCAGGGACUCUAGGAGGGGGAACCCUGGGCCCCCCCAAGCCCUCCUGGGGCUCCCAGGCCCCCGGAGCCAGGUGGAGAAAUUGAGCUUGUGUUCCGGCCCCACCCGCUGCUUGUGGAGAAGGGAGAAUACUGCCAGACAAGGUAUGUGAAGACAACUGGGAAUGCUACAGUGGGCCAUCUCUCCAAGUACUUGGCCCUGCGCAUUGCCCUUGAGCGGAGGCAGCAGCAGGAAGCAAGGGAGCCCGGAGGGCCUGGAGGGUGUGCCUCGGACACCGGAGGACCUGUCGAUAGGAAUACAAGAAAAGGAAUUCUCAGCUAUUGUUGGUAG